GACGAACGCUGGCGGCGUGCCUAAUACAUGCAAGUCGAACGCAGUGGGGACGGGUGAGUAACACGUGGGUAACCUCCCAUCAGAGGGGAUAACACUUGGAAACAGGUGCUAAACCGAUACUGAUGGAUGGACCCGCGGUGAAUUAGCUAGUUGGUGAGGUAACGGCUCACCAAGGCCACGAUGCCUCUCCGACCUGAGAGGGUGAUCGUCCACACUGGGACUGGGACACGGCCCAGACUCCUACGGGAGGUAGCAGUAGGGAAUCUUCGGCAAUGUACGAAAGUCUGACCGAUCAACGCCGCGUGAGUGAAGAAGGUUUUCGGAUCUUAAAGCUCUGUUGUUAGAGAAGCGGUAUCUAACCAUAAAGCCCCGGCUAACUUCGUGCCAGCAGCCGCGGUAAUAC
rnacentral:rRNA from 1 species